rnacentral:tRNA from 1 species
GCAGGGAUACAGCUCAGUGGUAGAGCACUUGCCUAGAAUGCAUGAGACCCAGGGUUAAACCCCCACCACUGCA